rnacentral:sRNA from 1 species
AAGACUCAGAGCCCCAGCUUGAAGGAAACAGCUGCUCUCGGCGUGCUCCGGCACUUGGCAGCUGGACAGGCAGAGUGCUGAUGUGAAAAAUACCACGACAAAACCACCCUAGUUCUCCAAAAUACUUAUCAUUCAGGUUGAAUAAACCAGUUCUACGGACUGCUUCUUCCGUGCAUUUCCCAAUGAUGCUAACUGCCCUUAAAAUUCUUUCAGAUUUGGAACUCUAUCUGUAUGGAAACAACAGACUUUUCUUGAAGUACAACUAAGGACAGGUUACCACUAGGCACUAACAUCGCUGACUUGCAUGAUUAUGGAGAUGGUCUAUCUGAUGCUGAAAAUGUCUCUAGUUUUUUGACAACGGCUAAAUAACCAUGGGAUCGAGUGGCCUUGGGAAAGCAGCAACAUUAGAUGAACUGCUGCGCACUUGCAUUGAGAUGUUUGAUGACAAUGGAGAGCUGGAUAAUAGUUAUUUGCCAAGAAUAGUUCUACUGAUGCACCGAUGGUAUUUAUCUUCCACUGAGUUGGCAGAAAAACUUCUCUGCAUAUAUCUUUUCAACUACUGUGUAAUUUUUACAAUCAUAAAUCAAGCUCUGUAUUUAGAUAGAUUGUCUAUCCAAAGCCAGUAAAUUAAGACGAAUAAAUAGUCUUUGGUUAUCCAGCUGUUUUGUGAAUAUAUAUAGAUGUCUAG